CAAGUCGAGCGAGGCGUGUAGCAAUACACAGUCGAGCGGCGAACGGGUGAGUAACACGUGGAUAACCUGCCCAGAGGUGGGGGAUAACCCGGGGAAACUCGGGCUAAUACCGCAUGAUACCGAAAGGUCAAAGGGGGCUCGCAAGGGCUCUCGCCAUUGGAGGGGUCCGCGUCCGAUUAGCUAGUUGGUAGGGUAAUGGCCUACCAAGGCGACGAUCGGUAGCCGGCCUGAGAGGGUGAUCGGCCACACUGGAACUGAGACACGGUCCAGACUCCUACGGGAGGCAGCAGUGGGGAAUUUUGCGCAAUGGGCUAACGCCUGACGCAGCAACGCCGCGUGGAGGAUGAAGGUCCUUGGAUUGUAAACUCCUGUCAGCAGGGAAAAAGCAACCUAACCUCAUACGUUAGGAAGUUGAUUGUACCUGCAGAGGAAGCCCCGGCUAACUCUGUGCCAGCAGCCGCGGUAAUACAGAGGGGGCAAGCGUUAUUCGGAAUUAUUGGGCGUAAAGGGCGCGUAGGCGGCUUGGCAAGUGGAUGGUGAAAUCCCUCGGCUUAACCGAGGAACUGCCAUCCAGACUGCUUUGCUUGAGGCCGGGAGAGGUGAGUGGAAUUCCCAGUGUAGCGGUGAAAUGCGUAGAUAUUGGGAGGAACACCAGUGGCGAAGGCGGCUCACUGGACCGGUUCUGACGCUGAGGCGCGAAAGCGUGGGGAGCAAACGGGAUUAGAUACCCCGGUAGUCCACGCCGUAAACGAUGAGUGCUUGGUGUAGCGGGUAUCGACCCUGCUGUGCCGAAUCAACACAUUAA
rnacentral:rRNA from 1 species